AAUCCCCCAAGUGCACACACAACUGGCAUUAACGAUCAUUUGCAGGACUGAACGCUCCCCCACCUCUUCAACAAAUCGGCACAUUGGAGCAGGGAAACCCUGGAACAGCACUGAGCCUGCACGCUGCAGAAACAAAAAGAACAAUGUUCCCCAGGGAUGGGCAUCCCGGCUGCUCCCACCCCUGUGCGCUGCAGGUGGGCGUCCUCCCCAGGUGUGCUCUCAGCAUCCUCCCAACGUGUGCUACCAGCUUCACUCUAGAAGAGCUCCUGAGCCCCGCAUCAGCUUUAGCUCCCUUUGCCUCCGGCAGCCCCAGCUCCCACCCUCCUGCCAGCAAACUCCACUUCAGCAAACGCUGGAGGCUCUUUUCAGGAGCUCCCAGAUUCCUGUCCACGUUCGGCUUUCACUUAAAGAGAGAGCUGCCCAUCAGAUCGCUGGAAAGAUUGGAAAUGAACGUCACGGCUCUGAAAGCAAAGAAAAAAGAGCCGCGAUUUCCCCAGCUCUCCAAAAAGGAGAGAAAUCUCCUGCUUGAACUCGUGGACAGGGUUCCCAGCACUCGACUCCCCCCGUGUUGAGCACUGAGGCGUGCGGGCUCGGAGGCUGCUCAUGCAAGAAAGCCAAAGCUGUCGCCUGCCUCAGCAAAGCUGUCAGAACUAUUUUAUUAUAUUCCAGCCCAUCAAAUAACCAUCACAACAGGUAUUCUCCCCCUCAUCAUGGCAGAAAGCUGGUAAGGGAGCACUUUCCUCUGAAAGAAUCUGCACUGUUUGUUGUUCAUUAAUUACUUGGGUGGUAUUAAUAAAGGCGACAUGGACUUGUCACCAAAAUGCCCUCUAAAUUCCCCUCAGUACUGUGAUUAUUCAUCUCUUCCACAGCCCAAGCUCAGGAACUCAGAGACUUUGUGCUACAUUAUAUUCUGGAUCUCAGUGUGUUCAGAGACUGAAGCUUGUUCAAAUGAGUCACUGCUGAGCUUCGUUCUUAUCUUUAAAGUUUGUUAUUGCUUGGAAGUGUUUAUCUGCAUCACAUUUGCAAAAACAUCUGAACAAAGGCCAGCCCGUGGAAACAAGAGCAUUUUUGCACCUUUUUAUAUAAAUAGGAAGGAGUUGAUACAGCUGGUUCUUUUUGCAAUUCACAAUAUUUGUCUCUAAUGCCAAUUUUAAGGACCGUGAUGGGAUUUAAGCAAUCACACGCAGACCUGGUGUCCUGGGAGAGAUAACAGCGCAGCUCCAUGGCAGGCUGAGAAAUCCAACUGCUGACACCCUUUGUGCCGGGCACAGCCACGACUUCCCGGGGAUCCAGCCCCGGUUUGGGGAUCCUGCCACACAGUGACCUGGAGAGAGUCCAAGCUCGUGUGUUCUGAGCAGAGCCAGGGAAAUCACACUCACAGCCUCAGGGUUUCUCCAAGGUGUUGGAGGCAGAGUGGGGGAGCGAGGCAGAGCGGCUGCCCGGGAGCCUGCGUUUACUCGAGGUGUAAAAGCUGCGCCUCCCAGUGCAGAUGGAUUUUUAUAACAGUCAUUCUAAAAACUUCACGGAUCAGGUUGUAUUCCUGCUAAACCUCACGGUGGCUGUGCGGCAGAUUGAUGUCUUAUGCUUGUGCCUCGCAGAUUUUACGGGGUUCUCUCGAUCUCCAGGAGCUGAGCUGUUCCCCCGAGCGCUCCCACGUACAUCAGCCGCCAAAAGAAUCAGAUCCUUUUUAAAAUGUAGCAAAAAAUAUCUUUAUCCUGCGCUAUGUCCUCGGGCGGGUUUCGGGCACUUACUGCCGAUAUCGCUGAAACAGUUAAAGACAUUUGGGCAGCUUUUCGUCAAAAAAAAAAAAAAAAAAAAAAAAAAAAAAAAGAGGUUUUCCUUUAGAUCCGGAAUGCAUUGGUUGGUGUUUUAAGCGCAGCGCUUGGAGAGAGCUCCGAGCCCUGGGAAGCCCGUGCGGAUCCCAGCAGCAGAAGCCGGGGGCUUGGCACCCUCUCCUGGUGUGCGCCCGGAGUGCUGCGGCAGCAGCCGGGCUGCCCCGGGAGCCAACCGAGGGCAAAUCAUCCGCUCCUAUAGCUGAUCUCACGGGCAAAGCCUCCGGGUAACGCGCUGCGGUUCUGUCUGGAUGCGGCGUUUUGGCUUCACGGGGGUGUGUCUGUGUCUCGCACUUAGAAAUGCCGAGGAUUCUGCUCGUCCUGUGACUGCAGGAAAGUUUUGAAGGGACAAAAUGACAUUCAGCCUUGGUUUUUUCCCCAUAUCUCUGGUUUGAAGAAAUACUCGACUGCUGUCAUGUGCUGCAUCGCUUCUUGUACUCCUUGAGGCAUCAAGAAAAACAUAAGAGGGGGAAAAGGGAAGAAUGGAGAAACAGAAGAUGGUCUUAAACUAGAUUUUUUUUUUUAACUUUUAACUUUAACUAGAUUAUUCUUUUUCAAGUAUUUAUGACACCACAGAAUGCCCAAGAACUUGGGAAAAACACUGUGGAUUGGAGAAAGUCAUCUGAGGUGAGUUCCACACAGCGCUGGCAAUGCCGUCUGGGCAGAGAGGAGGUGCCAACGAGCCCGUUUGCUUUCACUGGUUCGGAAUAAUUCCAGAGUGGCUCCAAAGCCCUGCAGAAAAGGCUCCUUUCCUACAGGAGCAGCCCGCGGCGGGGCUGGGAAGAGCUCAGCACCUGGUGUGGGGGAUUUUCUGUUUUCUGCUGCUCCGUGCUGCUUCCCCAGAGCUCUGCUGUCCUGCAUAUCUGCAGCAGCAGCUCACCAACACAGCUCUUCCUGCUGGGCAUGAGCCUUUUUUUAACCUUUUAACCCCAAUUUUACACGUCAAACCUCGAAUUUUAUCUCACCCAUUGAGAAUCAGGUAGAAACUCUUUACCCCUUGCUUGUGACCAGACACAGAGGAAAAACUCUCCCUCCUCGGGCAUGUGCUCAAUGGAAGGAGACAGGGAGGGAUUGCAGUGUUUUAAUAAAAGCAGUUCCUUUUUGCCAGGCUGGGACAUUCCCAGGAGAAUUCCCUUCUUUGAAAUGCUCAGCACAGUCGGGAAGCAGGUACCAACCCUCCCGUUCCCAUGAGGGUUAAUGGACUGAGGUCAGCCACAGCCAAAUUUACCAGGAAUUUUGUGUGUGCAUGCAGACACUUGUUUUCCCAUUAAAGAAAAAGAAUUAGGACAAAAAUACAAGCCUCUAGUUGAAGGUGCUGUGAGUUUUCGGCAAAGACAUCUUUGAUUCCUUAUGUGUUUAGGACAUUAGUAUUUAUUCCAGAGUAAGAUCUCAGCUGUUAAAGCCCUUACUCAUAUAAUUUUUGGUAUUUGUAUUCCCGAAGUAGUGAGAAUUCUAUACAUGAGAGAGAAUCCCAACAUCACAUGAAUAAAUGGACUGUCCCAAAGAUGGGAGAAGUGGAAA